GACGAACGCUGGCGGCAUGCCUAACACAUGCAAGUCGAACGAGUGGCGGACGGGUGAGUAAUGUCUGGGAACCUGCCUGAUCGCGGGGGAUAACUACUGGAACCGGUAGCUAAUACCGCAUAACAUCAGAUGUGCUCUGCGGGGAUUAGCUGGUGGGUGGGGUAACGGCUCACCAAGGGGACGAUCCCUAGCUGGUCUGAGAGGAUGACCGGCCACACGGGAACUGAGACACGGUCCAGACUCCUACGGGAGGCAGCAGUGGGGAAUAUUGCGCAAUGGGCGAAAGCCUGAUGCAGCCAUGCCGCGUGUAUGAAGAAGGCCUUCGGGUUGUAAAGUACUUUCAGCGGGGAGGCGUUACCCGCAGAAGAAGCACCGGCUAACUCCGUGCCAGCAGCCGCGGUAAUAC
rnacentral:rRNA from 1 species